GGAAAAUUUUGGAUUCAAUAUGAAGAAUAAAAACGAAUAAACGAAUGAUAAGUGAACUAAUAAUCGAAAAGGAUUUUAAAAUUCAGAUUUAAUUACGUUGGGAAAUUAACGUACGUUACACGUCAAGACUUUAAAGAGCGUUGACUUGUCUUCUGUCUUUUCUUAUUCGAGGGGACGAUCUUCUUGUCAUAUCGGAAGAGUCUUUGAUGAAUUGAUGCGCGAUGUAUAUAAAAAAGGGGGAACCACACCCGUCUCUCUAGGUUAUGAAAAUCGCCCGAGGCUGUGGUUUUUAUUUGGCAUUGAUCGGUGGUUUUUAAAGAACUAUUUUCUCAAAAGAUGGUGGCUGAUUGGUCCAUGUGUGUUUUUACUGUGGUUCUGCUCGACUUCUCGGCUUUACAGAAAAGCACUAUUGUGUUUUCCCAUUUCGUAUAAUCAUCUGUACACAACUAUGAAACCGAUUCGAGCCAACUCGAUACAAUAAUUCCCUAUUCUUCGAAGAAAUCUGCAGUGAACAAUUUCUUCUCUAACGAGAUUCUAGAAACGAUAUUUUUCACUUAAAAAAUUAUUAGAUAAGGAAGUUGUCCAGAUAAAGUUCAUAUGGUAAGCGAUAUCUGUUGAUGUUUUAUUCUGGUUGGAAUGGUCUCUUCUGAUGACGUCAUCGCUUCUACACUAAAAAACCGACCUCACGCUCGACCUUUGAUGCCGUAGAUGCUACGAACUGGAAUGUAAAGACCAUAAAUAUCAACUUUAAACGGUUGGAUAACCGUCUGGAUAUUUCUGAUUUCGUUUUGCAUUAUCUGAAAGUUUAUUUUUUUAAAUCCGACUAGAUUUAAAUUACACUAUUUUGACAUAAUUAUUUUUUUAAAUAAGUAUUUA
rnacentral:lncRNA from 1 species